GAUUAAGUUAUUAAGGGCGCACGGUGGAUGCCUUGGCACUAGAAGCCGAAGAAGGACGUUACUAACGACGAUAUGCUUUGGGUAGCUGUAAGUAAGC
rnacentral:rRNA from 1 species